UAACAAAAGCUUCUGUCUUGGACAGACAGUCCAAUCCAGCUGACUGUGAUUGGCCAUUAAUUAAAAACAACCCAUGAGACCAAUCACAGAUGCACCUGUUGCAUUCCACAGCAGCAAAUAACCAUUGUUUAAAUUUUGUUCCUGAGGCCUCUCAGCUUCUCAGGAGGAAAAAUCCUAAGGAAAGGAUUUUUCAUAAAAGAUGUCUGUGACACCCCCCUGCUCUUCCCCUCUGGCAGAUGCCAGCUGGUUGCCCAUAUACGAAGAAUCAGAAGACGCAGUAGAUUUCAUCCUGGCCUUUGUCAGCAGCCUUGACAAGGUAACAGUGGCCAGCUGGACACUGGCUGUGAUUUGCUGGGCUGUGCAGUGGUGCUGGCUGGGCAGAGCUGCAUUCCUCACAGGGCACUGCUCUCCCAGUGCUCCAGCCCCACUGGCUGCGUCCAUCCUCCCACACUCCCUGUUUGUGCCUCUGCCAGGACACCCACAAGUUCACAUUUCUGAAGAGCACCUACGUUGUGUGCAAAACUGCCUUGAAACGGGGCUUGACCAGGGGCCUGGAUUUAUUCUGUCAAACGUGUGAAGUGGUUGAGAAUAUCAAGGACCUCCUGGACAAAGAGCCAAGGGACCGUCUGUCCUCCAAGAUCCGCUACCUGGCCAUGAUUACCAUUGAAGAAUUAAGCUUGGUGGAGAAUGUGCUGGAGGGCAAAACCAAAAUCCUCCUGUCUUCAUGUUUCUCAAGUGUCCUCCUGCUCCCCUCAGAAAGGGAAAUGCCACACCAGAACACUGCCCUCUACAUCAAGAUGCUGCUGGAGUACACCAGGUUUGAGAGGGAAGCUGUGCGGGAGAGGGCUAUGGGGAGGAUUGCUGUCCUGACCAAUCUGCUGUCUAACUAUUCCACUCUGAAGCCCUCUGUCAACUUUGGAAGAGACAGUUCUGGACCUGUGCGCCCUGAGGACAUCUCAUUCCCAGCCAUGGGAAGGCUGGUGGGACGUCUCAUUCUCUUCCGAUAUUCCGGGGAACAAACAAGCUACACAGCUUUCCACGCUCUGUUUUCCCUUGCUGAAUUCCUCUACAAGUCAAGACCAAGGGAUGGGUCAGAUGUAUUCUCUUGGGAAGCUGUGACCACCUCCUCACUGUGUUACCUGAGCAUUAUAGACUGUACCCAGGCCUUUGGAAGAUACCUCCACUCCAGUGAGAGGACAGAUGUCGUCCUUGAGGCCAUCGAGGCCAUGAAAGAUCCCAGCAUCCUUAACAAGGAUGUGCCCUGCAGUAUACUGGAUGUGGUCAUGGAAGACACAGACUUCUGGGUGACAGAUGUGCCCAAGACAGUGAAGUGCAUUUUUGAGAACCUGCUAUACACCACCACAGAGGCAGGCUGUGUCAAAGUGGAGUCACUGUUUCUCCUGAUGACCACCCAGUACCCCUCGGCCGUGGUCAUCAGCCUGUGUGAGAUGGCUCUUCAGGGAGA
rnacentral:lncRNA from 1 species